AUGCUCCUGGCGCUCCUCCCAGUGCUGGGGAUACACUUUGUCCUGAGAGAUGCCCAAGCUCAGUCAGUGACGCAGCCCGAUGCUCGCGUCACUGUCUCUGAAGGAGCCUCUCUGCAGCUGAGAUGCAAGUAUUCCUCCUCUGGGACACCUUAUCUGUUCUGGUAUGUCCAGUACCCGCGGCAGGGGCUGCAGCUGCUCCUCAAGUACUAUUCCGGAGACCCAGUGGUUCAAGGAGUGAAUGGCUUUGAGGCUGAGUUCAGCAAGAGUAACUCUUCCUUCCACCUGCGGAAAGCCUCUGUGCACUGGAGCGACUCGGCUGUGUACUUCUGUGUUCUGAGCG